CUCCUGACUAGUCUUCACAUUUGACAAUGAGAGUUGGUUCUGAAGAUAGCAAAUAGUUGAGACCUUGAACAACAAGUAAUCAAGCUAGUUCUCUGCCACAGACCCUUUUGGUCCCUGUCUGCGUAGAACAGAUCUCUGGUUGCAGGUGGGCAAGGAGUCGGUGAAUGAAUGACAGACAGAAUCAACAGUCCUCAUUGAAUAGCUUCAUUCCCUACUAGCUAUCUUUCACAAUGCUGUGAUGUAUUAUACACACUAUCAGGAGAAAAGUGUGAGUCUCACCCAGCUUUGAACCCUUCAAAUUACAACUGGCUUUCUAUAUAUGCCCACUAAUACACUAGUGGUAUGAAUGUUUAUGGGACUUGUCAACCAUUUUUCGAUUGGAUCUAAUGUGAAGUGAAAACUUCUGGUCUCUUUGGAAACUCAGUUGUGUCUUAUCAUGUUUCUCUAGAAGCUGUCUUGUGACAAUGUUUUGCUAAAGCAGACAUGUUUUGCUGAAGCAGACAUGUGAGAGAAACACUAAAGAGGCACAUGAUGUUUAGAAAAAAUAUAAAUAUAGCCACACAGACAGUAAGAGGAUGUUCUUACAUUGACACAUCUUACAAUGCUUUGCUGGUCUCCCCUGGUCUUUAAUUCGUAGAAACACCAAAGAACUUCUCAUAGUAUUCAGGCUGAUUCUUGCCAUUUCUGCUGACUCAUGCUAAUUCAGUGGAGCCUUGCAAUUUCUGCUCAAUCAAGCAGCUGCUACCGAAUGAUGUUUGGAGUUUGCUAUUGGACUGGGCUGCUGAUAUCCUGACAACAAACAUUGGAAUUUCUCCAAAGAACUACUUUUAAGCAGGUCCUACACCCACUUUUCCUAAUAAGCUUGCUUCUCCGUUGACCUCUGGUCAAAGGGCUAGAAGAAAGGGUGAAGCAUUUAAGAACUAUUGCCCGAGCUUUUGUCCCUGCUGGCAAGAACACACUCAGGACAACCGGAAUCUUCUGCGGCAAAGCUUUAAUUGCUUCUUUCUCAGGAAGACCCCGAACAGGGAAAAUGGCGCUGCUUAUAUAGCCCGCAGCGUGACGUUUCAGCAUCUGAUGUGGCAUGACAGCUCCCGAUUCCUUGCUCGCCCAUCACCCCAUUACUACACCCCGAAAUGGGCAGUGACUAGGCGUGAGUUCACUCUUGCACCUGCGUACAAGGCUUGUUUACUAGUUAGGCACAGCAGAGGCCAGCACCAUCUUAUAGUGGCAAUUGCUUGCAGCACGCACAGCUCUCCACAGCGAUUGCUCGCGGCACGGCUCUCCACAAAGAAACCUAAUAAAACUUAAUUAAUACUUGAUCUGAUGAGAUUGUUACUUCAGGAGAAGAUGUUAAUGGUUGAGAGCCACCAUGUGCGUGGUGACAACUUACCAUCAACCUCUACAAGAGCAACAAGUGCCCUGAACAGCCGAGUCAACUCUGAAGCAACUCUGCUGCAGGUUAUGGUUUAGCCAACUACAGCGACUGUCAGGUGGUGAUGGAUAGUGAAUGGCACCCAAUGCUUUAUGACCCUCUCAUCAUCUCACCUGCUUUGGGGAGAAGAAAAGAUUCAUCUUCUGAUUUCAAUAACUAAUGAAUUGCUGCCCAAGAUAGUCAUCAGGAUGGUCUGAUAUUGAAAUCAUGCCAUAUCAGAUAUGACAAUAACAACUGACAUACAUUUACUUGGCUUUAAGUUCAGGCAAAAAGGAAUUAUUUAUACAUUUAUCAAGAAGUUAAAAGUUGGUCCUAUAAAGGAAAAAACUGCUAAUUUCCUCCCCCUUUUUCUUCUGGCCUUGAAGCUUACAUCAGAAGGAUGGAAUUACAGAGAAGACCCAGCUUAACAGCACAAACAAAUCUGUCAGCAGUACCCAGAUAGGAAAGCACUAGG
rnacentral:lncRNA from 1 species